GAUGAACGCUGGCGGCGUGCCUAAUACAUGCAAGUCGAGCGAACGGACGAGAAGCUUUCUUCUCUGAUGUUAGCGGCGGACGGGUGAGUAACACGUGGAUAACCUACCUAUAAGACUGGGAUAACUUCGGGAAACCGGAGCUAAUACCGGAUAAUAUUUUGAACCGCAUGGUUCAAAAGUGAAAGACGGUCUUGCUGUCACUUAUAGAUGGAUUCGCGCUGCAUUAGCUAGUUGGUAAGGUAACGGCUUACCAAGGCAACGAUGCAUAGCCGACCUGAGAGGGUGAUCGGCCACACUGGAACUGAGACACGGUCCAGACUCCUACGGGAGGCAGCAGUAGGGAAUCUUCCGCAAUGGGCGAAAGCCUGACGGAGCAAUGCCGCGUGAGUGAUGAAGGUCUUCGGAUCGUAAAACUCUGUUAUUAGGGAAGAACAUAUGUGUAAGUAACUGUGCACAUCUUGACGGUACCUAAUCAGAAAGCCACGGCUAACUACGUG
rnacentral:rRNA from 1 species